GACUUAAAGAGGCAUACAACAUGACUGCAUGUCUUUUGAGGAUUGAGGCCAUACUUUCAAGAUCUGGGCUUGCCAGACACGCAAAACUUACAAUAGAAUCACAAGAGUUAGUCGCACUGUUAGUUGGACCCUUGUUAUUUCAGCUCACUUCUUUCUUGCUAUAGUUCUUUGACAGUUGAACUCUUCUAAGGCACUUAAGUAAACCAGUGGACUGUCAAACCAUGAUGAUACUACAAGAUGGGCCUUUAAUGAGAGAAUAAACUCUACAGUUAGGAGUCUUUAAAGUCCUAGAUUUAUUGAAAUCCAGCUAACACCACGUAACGCUUGUGUUCUCCAGGCAGGAGGUGUAAGAGAGCUCUGGUUUCUAAGGUGUCCAGGGGAAGCAGAGAGACAGACUUCAGUUGGCUGGAGCAUUGGAUUUUUUAUAAAAUGAGAUCCCACUUACAUAGUACUAGCUCUGUUCCUAGCUACCUGAAUGUGAACAAAAUCAUUGCUUCUGUUUUCCUAUGACUUAAGAACUACUAAUAAACAUUAAUAUUGGACUCAUUGUUCCAUGUACUUCAGCAAUAUCUUGCUAGCAUAGUGUUAACUGAGAAUUAAAAUAUAUCCAAACGGUAAAGAGUUAAGUUGUUAAUCUUUAAAAUCUAGAAUUCUGUUCAAGUUGAUUUUAAUGUGGUGUUUAAGGUUCUUAUAAUUGUAAAACAAGGCAGUAUAUCACAAUAAGGAUUAGACAAACAGAUGUAUCUAUCUGCUAUCCAACACAUACUGCAGUUUGAGAGCUGAACAGAGCAAGGUUGUGGAUAAAGGAGAUGCUGGUGUAUGGAGUUCCUUUUAUGAACAGACACACAAAGCAGCUGGACUUUUUAAGCAGGUGCUUCAAAUAAAUUUAUCUUUACAUCUGUAAAGCUAAGUAAGAUUUACAUGGUGAAUCUCACCCCCUUUCCCCCUGACCCCAAAAUGGGAGCUUGAUUUAAUUAGUCAUGAAGUUUGGACCAUAAUUAUAACUAUCCAGCAGAUGGCAUUGAAGUGCCAAAAAUCCUUGCUUACAGUAAGACACAGAACAAUGUCUUUAGGUUAAUUUUAUUAAAAUAAAACUUUAGCUGUGGCAUUGACACUGUCAUGAGCUCUAUUUGGCAGCGUUAAGAUCUUUCCUUUGCACAGCCUUAACCUGUGCACAGCCUCUGCAGCCAGGAAUGUACUCAUCGCACUAAAGCCUACAGGCUUUGGGUAUUUAAGCGAUAACCAUUAUGAUAGUAUGGUUUCCAGGUAAGCAGCCUUUCUAUGGGGAUGACUCAUUCAAAAAUGAGAAUUGCAACUAAUAAGGGUCAAAUAUUUAAUACCAAUGAAAGUUUUGAAGAACUGUAGAGACCCUAAUGCAAUAACUGUCUGGAAGUGAUGAUAACCUUCCACAUCUCUAACAGCUGAAGCCCCCAAACAUUUUUGUAUAUCCAUGAGUGUUGCCACACUUUUCCUAAUCUGCAAAGUCCUACUAGAAUGGCAGUAGCCCAAUUAGUUUCUCUUUGUAGCUGUGUUGCUAGAGUUCUUAGAACAAAAAAAUCACAGCAUGCUUGUGGGCGCAGAAGUUAUUUUCUGCAUGCUUUAGCGAUGUAUUGAGCUCAACUUUUGGUCUGGGUAGUGCUUUAAUUAAUGUUCUGUACUGCAUCUUUUUUUACGGAUGACUUAUUGCCAGCUUAGCAUGAUGUUGGAAUAUUUGAGGCAAAUUAAAGGGAAAGCAAACCUGCUUCAAGCCUUGUGAAGUUCACUUGAUUUCCAUGUAGCCUGAAGAUCUGGGUAUGAUGUUAUUUUGUGUGUAAAAUGUAUGCUCUGCAUCAUUGUGAAUCUGAAAAUGAGCUGUCAUAAAUCUUACUACCUAUCUGCACACACAAUUGCCCAAUUUGCUCAUGUAGUUUGGGUAAUAGUGCUUGCAAAUCAAUCAGGCAAUUAUGCAUCUAACAUUUUCUUUCAAAUCAGGCUGAGUUUUUUAUACUUCCCCAGCCUACAGCUUGAUUUAAAUUUGUAUAAAAUAAAUAUGUGGGAGAUGAUUUUUUUUUUAAAUUGCCAAUAUAGAAAUGAAUACAGAGUUUUAAUGACGUCUGGAAAACAUUUGCUGGACCCUUAUUUGUCUGUUUAAUAUCUUUCUUCCUCUUUUGUGUAUAUGUGUAAUUGGCUUUCUGCUGGCGUAUAUUCUAACUAACUCCUCAUCUUGUAAGUUUUAUGUAGAUGUGAAAUUUCUCUUAUCUGUAAUAAUGUUUGCCUCAGAGUUAUCUUGUUCAGAUAAUAUGAAUAUAAACCACUGAAAUACUCCUUCAGAAAGCCCAGCUUCUCUGUGUACUUUUGCUCAUGCCAUGAAUCAUUUAGCUGCACUUGACAAUAUUCAUUAUGUAAUAUCAUUGUCAGAAUGCAAAUUGUUUACUAUCAUUCUCUGGGUGGUCAAGUGAAUCACAUUUAUAAACAUUUUGCAGAUAAAAAGUACUUUUAUAAAUGCGUAGUAGUAUUUUAAUCUAAGGGCUUUCUGUGCAUGUUAUGUUUGGGGGGGUAGACCUCUAGUUCUUGGGUGAUUGAACUAGCUGUCCAGCUCUGUUUCAGUAUUAAUACUAUUUCCAUGUACUUACCAUAUUGUUUUAGUUCUGCAAGUCAUGAUUAAGGCUACGAUUUUGUCAUGGAAAUCAUGGAAUCCAUGACUUCCAAAGACCCCUGUAACUUUAGCCCCGGUGGCUGGGAGCUGCAGGGUCCCACCGCCUCCUGCAGUAGCAGGGAGCUGUGAGGUGGGCGUCGCUCCCAGCCACCCUGUUGCUGUCCAGCUCCUCAUUUUAUCAUGGAUAUUUUUAAUAAAAGUCAGGGACAGGUCACAGGCUUUUGUGACUUUUUCUUUAUUGCCUGUGUCCUGUUUGUGACUUUUACUAAAAAUAUCAAUGACAAAAUCUUAGCAUUAGUUUAUGAUGUCAAUGGAGGUUGUUUUUCUUUUUGUUUCUGCAGUUGCACCAGGUAAGGUAGCUGAGCAGCAGAGAAUGAAAGCUGAAGCUAAAUGAAUGUGAUGUAAGUUCAUACCUAUUGUCUCAGAAUAUAAUAGUUUGGAAUGAAGAGUUGAGAAGCUGAUAUCCAGACACCUUCAGCUUAUCCUCCUUUGCCUUCAUCAACUGAGAUAAUGGGGAUGUGAGAAUGCCUAGAACCUUCAGCCUGGACCAGGACCCCAUUGUGCCAAGUGCUGUACAAUUUCAGAAUAAAAGAUGAUCGAGGCCCCAAGAAGCUUACUCUAAGUAUAAGACAAGAAACACCAGAUGGAUACAGUCAGAUGCAGAAGUACAAACCUUUGAAGUCUGUGAUACAGCUGAAGCAGUUGCAUCACUAUGGCGCAAAUCCCAAUAAGAGCAAACUAACCAGAUGUUGCUGAGAACAGAUGUUGACAGGAACAAAUGGAUCCAUGUGGUGUUUUGUGUUUUCUACCACGGAUGGGGAUGUGCUGGCUGCUACUUCCCGCAGCCCGCAUUGGUCUGCAACGAAGAACUACGGCCAGUGGGAGCUGCAAUUGGCCAAACCAGCGGACGCUGCAGGUAAACAAACAGUCCCAGCCUGCCAGCAGAUUUCCCUGAUGGGCCACAUGCCAAAAGUUGCCGAUCCCUGUUCUGGACCUAUUAAAGUCAAUGGCAAACUCCCAUAGACUUCAAUGGAGCGAGGAAUCCCUCUGGAUGCUUAACAGAAUCAUAUCAAUAGUAUCCAUGAGACUUCCAUCAUGGCUACCUCUGACCUAGUGUGUUAUUUUUAUAGUUUGAAAAUGGUUCCUUUCUAACUUUCCCUUUGUUUCCUUAGCCCCCGACCCCCAUGGGGAAGCAACAAACAGAUGUAGCACACGGCUUUCUGGCCACCCCUGGGCCACCGUGUCCUGACAUACCCCCACCCCGCACCAGGGGUUGGAAGCAGGAGCAGAGAAGAGUUCCUACCCAAGCUUUAUGCCAGAGUAGUCUCAGGGAGCCAUUUUUGCCCCUUGUUACACUGCCAGACUGCUAAAAGGGACAUAACUGAGAAUUUGGCCCAAUGAUUCUCACAUGGGCAGAAGUGGGGAGAGUAGGGUAGGGAGUGGAUGAAUCUGAUGCAGCUAAGGAAGGGAAAAGCUGUAAUGUAAAACCAGUGAAGCGAAGCAUCAACAUCCUGAGGAACUGCUGUCAAUACAUCAAUAAGGACCUGUAUCUUCUUGGAGGAAAUUACAAAACGCCUUAGCAAUUUGAUUUAACUCUUCAUUGACACCACCACAAGCAGUGAGCCAGCUUUCAAAAGAGCUCUUUCAAAAUGACUUGUCUUUGCAUUUCUCUUUAUUCGACUUUUGGCAGGACAACUGUUUAGCAAUCAAAUUAAAGUUCAUUUUAUCCGAUGAGUUACCAACAACCAAGGCAGCGGGUCUUGGGUCAGUCUCAUCUUGUAAGAUUAUCUGAAAUGUACUAGAUCCUCCUUCAUUUAAAAAAAAACAUUUUUGCCUCUUUGUCUAAAAGGUCUGAAAACUUUCAAACCAUGUGCUAGAGUGGAUUCUAUACAGAGCACUCUAUGCUGAGAGAA